rnacentral:rRNA from 1 species
AACGCUGGCGGAAUGCUUUACACAUGCAAGUCGAGCGGCAGCGCGGGGCAACCUGGCGGCUAGCGGCGAAACGGGUGAGUAAUGCAUCGGAACAUGUCCACGUCGUGGGGGAUAGCCCGGCGAAAGCCGGAUUAAUACCGCAUACGCCCGAGAGGGGAAAGUGGGGGACCGCAAGGCCUCACGCGAUUGGGUUGGCCGAUGUCCGAUUAGCUUGUUGGCGGGGUAAGAGCCCACCAAGGCGAUGAUCGGUAGCUGGUCUGAGAGGAUGAUCAGCCACACUGGGACUGAGACACGGCCCAGACUCCUACGGGAGGCAGCAGUGGGGAAUUUUGGACAAUGGGGGAAACCCUGAUCCAGCCGUUCCGCAUGAGUGAAGAAGGCCUUUGGGUUGUAAAGCUCUUUUGUCCGGAGCGAAACGGCGAGCGUGAACAUCGCUCGCUACUGACGGUACCGGAAGAAUAAGCACCGGCUAAAUACGUGCCAGCAGCCGCGGUAAUACGUUGGGUGCGAGCGUUAAUCGGAAUUACUGGGCGUAAAGCGUGCGCAGGCGGUUUUGUAAACCAGAUGUGAAAUCCCCGGGCUUAACCUGGGAAUGGCAUUUGGGACCGCAAGGCUGGAAUGCGGCAGAGGAGACUGGAAUUCCUGGUGUAGCAAUGAAAUGCGUAGAUAUCAGGAGGAAUACCGAUGUCGAAGGCAGGUCUAUGGGGUGACACUGACGUUCAUGCACGAAAGCGUGGGGAGCAAACAGGAUUAUAUACCCCGGUAGUCCACGCCCUAAACGAUGUCGACAUGGUUGUUGGGGGUUUGACACUGUCAGUAACGAAGCUAACGCGUGAAGUCGACCGCC